AGAGCUAGAGAUACAUGCAAAGAAGACAGCAGUGGCCAUGUUUAUAGGUCAAUCAAGUGUUAAGGAUAGACAUGACAGUUACGUGCUUCCCAGAGUUGCCAUAAACUUAAUGGUUAAAUUUCUACCACAGAUUGUCUGAUUUUUAAAUUUCUAUGAUAACUAUGAAAAAUCAGAGUAACAAACCAAAAGGGAUGUUCUUCAGAGAAACCUCAGAGACACCUGCUGUUGGAUUUUCAUCAUCUCCAUUUUUCAGAGAGCAGUUUCCUAAGCUUAAGGUUUGAGUCUGAGAAGAAUGUUUCAGAGUCUUUACAUUGCAGAUCUACAUAGUUCUUCCAAGCCAUGGCAUGGAGAACUCCCAUAAUAACUUAGGGACAGCAUAUGAAAUGAUAUGCCUACAGAGUUCAGAAGAAUAUGUCGGAUCUCCUAUAGCUUGAGAGCUGCCAGCCUCUUGGAGAGACUUAGAGGACACCUGACAUGAGUUCUGGGAACUGAAGUUUUGUCUUCUUGAAGAGCAAUAUGUCUUAAAAUUAGAGCAUCAGGCUUUACCUUCUCAUCUGUGAAUUGUUCAGCAUUCUGCCUCCUCAAGGCCUACCAAUUGUUCAUCUUUGUUUGUAUUUAAAAGAGAAUCAAAGAAAUCAUCUCGCUGAGAUCAGCAAGAAUUAAUGAUGGUGAUCUCUGUUGGUAAGGACAUUCAUCUGAUGCUCUUACUGUGCAAUAUUCCAUCUAACCAACCAAUCAUGCCAAAAAGAAGGAAUCUUGUGUUAAGUCAUCACUUUAUAACUAGUAUUGAUACUAUGUAUGUGUGGGAAAACAAAUGCAGAGUGGUGCUUCUGAGAAUAUUAAAUAUGAGUAGGUGCCAGUCUCUAACAGAGCAGCUUACCAUCUUUGCAUCUGUGUGAAGCUGACAAUGUUAACUCAGUUUGUCAUACCAGACUGUGCAGAAGGGAGCAAGUGAAUUUGAGUAACAAAAUAUAACCAAAUGCUAAGCCAUCAUCUCUAGUAUCAGAGCUGCACAGAGUAGGUUCACAGAUGUCUGGCAUGUGACAUACUGCCUGACUGAGUCACUAAUGCCCUCGCCACUGAUGUGUAUUCAGUACCACUACACCUAGCAAAAGAUGCUGCAUACAGUAUUCCAGUUAGAGCUGUCAUUCUGCUAACUAUGUGCUGUCACAAUGGUUGGAAAUUAGAUACCAAGAAUUUGUUUGAAGUGUUUGUUGUCCCAUAACAAAAGCCACAAAUACUAUAGAAUGUUUUUAUUCUCUUAAUUCAAUUUUUUAAAGUGGCUUCAAGAUAAGAAAAUGAAAAUAUUUGACAUUUGGAUAUCUUGAAAAAUGAGGAAUUGAGGAAUGAAAUAAAGGAAUAGUUCAUUUAGAUAGGAAAUUAGAACUCAGGCAAGCAAUCAUAAAUAUUUUCUAUUUUACAAGAAUAUUAAUGACUUUCAAACAUAUAAUUAUAUAGCCAUUGGGUUGCAGAAAGUAUGAGUUCAUAAGUUAUUAUACCUAGAUUUCUACCACCAAUAUUUUUCUCCUACAUGGAUUAAACAACUACUGCAGAAAAAAAACGUUUGGUUGAAUCUUGUUCUCCUUGUUCUGAAAGUUCUCUUUCCCUUUCCACACAAUCAGAUGGGAAGAGUUUAGGAGUAUGAGUGUGUUCAUGGCUGCAUGUGGCAUUGUGUUGUGAACAAUGAGACUAAGAGGAAUUCCAGCCAUCAUAUAUUUUGCUUCACUGGAUCACAGACCAAAACAGAUUCAGAAACUACGAUUAUAUUUGACAUUUGCAGAACUAAAAAUUUUCACCAUGUUUAUUGGAAGCUCAUGGAAACAUAACAGCUAAAAAUACAUAACAGAAAGGGGUAUAAAUCCUUGCCAUGUAAUUCUCUCUGGUUGUAUUUUAUAUAUUAUAGUAAUUACAUUUUCAUGCUACCUUGUUGCCUAAGGAGAUUAUAAAGAGAUUUUUGUUAUUUUACCCUUUUUCCUUUGUCUAAAAAAUUAAGAUUCAUUUGUCAAAAAAAAAAAAAAAAAGCACCGAAAAGCACCAGAAGGAACUAUCUUAUCCUUAAGUGUUUUAACCUUUUGGCUGGGGCUUUGUUAAUAUGUAAAGAAUAAUGUGUGAUCUGUUUCAAUUUCCCCAAGUUUUAUCUCAAUUUAUUCACAAAUGCAUACUUGAGGGACAAAGUGAGCUCUCUGAACAUCUUCAGCUUACAGCUUCACAGUGGCUAAAAGGGUCUGUGUAGAAGUGAAGAAAAAAAAUUAGCCCCCAUUGACUGCCAAACGUUUCUUCAGAAUUG
ensembl:lincRNA